GAUGAACGCUGGCGGCGUGCCUAAUACAUGCAAGUCGAGCGAACGGACGAGAAGCUUGCUUCUCUGAUGUUAGCGGCGGACGGGUGAGUAACACGUGGAUAACCUACCUAUAAGACUGGGAUAACUUCGGGAAACCGGAGCUAAUACCGGAUAAUAUUUUGAACCGCAUGGUUCAAAAGUGAAAGACGGUCUUGCUGUCACUUAUAGAUGGAUCCGCGCUGCAUUAGCUAGUUGGUAAGGUAACGGCUUACCAAGGCAACGAUGCAUAGCCGACGUGAGAGGGUGAUCGGCCACACUGGAACGGAGACACGGUCCAGGCUCCUACGGGAGGCAGCAGUAGGGAAUCUGCCGCAAUGGGCGAAAGCCUGACGGAGCAACGCCGCGUGAGUGAUGAAGGUCUUCGGAUCGUAAAACUCUGUUAUUAGGGAAGAACAUAUGUGUAAGGAACUGUGCACAUCUUGACGGUACCUAAUCAGAAAGCCACGGCUAACUACGUG
rnacentral:rRNA from 1 species